rnacentral:lncRNA from 1 species
ACAGCCAUUUUACAACUCUAUCUGUGAAAAGCACAGAACGUAUUUUGACCUUUUCACCGUGGGAUCCUGAAGGGGACUUAAAGAACAGCCUUCAGGUCCUGCUGGUCCCUUCCUGGGAAGACUUUUAUUCCCUCGGAGCUAAGAAAGACACCUAGAUGGUGCCUUCCUCUCUCUUGUGCUGCUUGGAAGGCAUGGGCUUUGGGGUCAGCUAGACCCUGGGCUAGCUCUUGGUUAUGUUCCCAACACCUCUGAGACCUUGGGCAACUGACUUAUUGUUCUUGGACAUGGCUUUCUUUGAAAACCAUAAAACUUAUAGAAUGGGAUGGGAGCAUUUUAAAAUACAUUUAUGGGAAAUUAACACAGAAGACCUUGUUUAAACAUUAUUUUUAGUGGUCAGCCAAUGGCUUCAGCUUAGGAAUGACUGAGGCAAAAGCACUAAUUAAGGAUGGUAAUUUUAUUCAUCUUUGUAUCUGUUUAGUGUCAAGUUGUAGGAAGAGAGGGUUUAAAAUAUGAGCUAGUAACCCCCCCACACCCCGAGACUCUUUAAAACUAUGAAUAAAGUUAAGAAAACUGUGCAAGAACUAAGAGAAGGUCAAAGGAAAAGAAGCGAUGGACAUUGUAGGUUCGAAGCACACCAGGCACCUUCCAGGAGAGGAGAAAGUUCAGGAAUGUGGCCCUCCCUGCACUGCAAAUCCCUUUGUGGCCCCUUCAAGCCUCUAAGCUCUUUUACCUCAGCUCAUCAUUAAUGCUGAUCUCCCCAGGUAGGGGAGAGGAGGUGGACUUAGGAGGCUUAACUACAUUGCUUAGGAUUGUAUAUUUCAGAGACACUGACUGAUGUGAGUCACACAAUUAUAGUUCUGAGUCCUCCUCUGUUCUUGAGUAUAGAGAUUGGAGAGGAAAGCUGUGUUUGUGAUUUUAGAGUGCCCGGGUCAGGCACUUCCUUUUUGUAUGUGUUUUGGGCAAGCCCCUUACCUUUUGGAGCCUAACUUACCACCCCUGGGAAGUGAGGGAACUGAACUUAGUGCUCUCUAAGGCCCUGUUUGAGUUUGCAUGCCAUUGACUCUGGACUUUUCUAAAUAAACAAGUAAACUUACAGUUACCAUGGAGAAUGUCUGUGUCCUUGCUGAUCAUUGUAAAUGUCCCUGAUGUCAAAAUGCAGGAUGAUAAAAAGUGAAGUUGAAAAAUGAGGAAGGAGUGUGACAGGGAGUGAUCUUAAUCGUUUUGCAGGGUGUGCACUUUUUAGGCUGCCUAAGGGCAGAAUUGAAAUAUAUGCCUUCUGCCAGCAUAUUUCAGAGUCAGCCGAACUACAUUUUGGUUAGGAACUACCUUGUCCAGAAAGAGAGGGGAUGAUAAUCAAAGCAAGGGCAGUCCCAGAGCUCAGAUGAUCCCUUUUUCCUGGUGAAGGAUAUCCUUGGAUGGUUGAUUUUCUAUUGAGCCUUUAAAAGAGAACGCUAGGCUUAACAAAGGGUCAAGAGUCCACAGCUGAGGAGGCCGAGAGGAGCCAGGGAAAGGAAGUGGUUUAAAAGACUUACUGCUAUUAUAUUAGUAAUAAAUUUUUUCGAAUUUAUUAUUGAAAUUUAUAUAUAUAUUUCAAAAAUAUACCAAAAUAGAGUGAAGUGUAUGAUGGAUCUCUACAUUCCUAUCAAGAGUCAACCAUCAAUUCAUGGCCAAUCUAGUCUAACCUGUAUCUUCAUUUAAUCUUGUUUUAACAAAAUUCUUUUGAGACAAAUCUUGUUCAAUUUCAUCUGCAAAUAUUUCCAAAGGUAUUUCUAAAAUUAAGGGCCUUUUUAAUUUAAAAGGCAAAUGCAAUAAUGUUAAAACAUCUAAAAAUUAACAAAAAAUUUUUAAUUGUAUUCACUAGCAAGUCAAUGUUUAAAUUUCUCCAAUUGCCUCAUAUACAUAUUUUUUUAAAAAUUUGUCUGAAUCUCGAUCCUAAUAAGGUCCAUAGAAAGCUAUUGGGGAAUAUGUGUCUUAAGUCUCUUUUACUCUACAGGUUUCCUUCCAUCUUUCUUUCUUUCUUUCUUUCUUUCUUUCUUUCUUUCUUUCUUUCUUUCUUUCUUGUGAAGAAACUAGGCCAUUUUUUCCUGUGAAUUUUCUGAUUUUGAUGAUUAAAUUUCUGUGUUAUCUUUUGAUAUGUUCCUCAGUCUUUUCUAUUUCCUGUAAAUUGAUAUCUAAAUGUAUGAUUAGAUUCAAUGAGUUUUUUUUGGCAAAUAUAUUUCAUACAUGUGUCAUGUAUUCUAUUAGGAGACAAACAAUGCUUGAUAGUCUCUUUUUUGUGGUAUCAGUAGCCAUUAUUAAUCAUUGUCCAGAUCCCUUAAUUCAUUAGAGGCUGCAAUACAAUAUAUUCAUUCUAUGAAUAUAAUUCCUUUUAAUCUAGUAGUUGUAAUAUUUCUAGAAGAAACUUUUCCUGUUUGAUUACACUGAGGAAAUAUAUGUUCAUUAUAUUAUCUGUAUGUAAAACCCAGGCUAAAUACUGGAUUUAACCCCUCAUUUCCAGUUUCAGCCUAUUUUGCAGCCUUCUUCAGAAGUGACCAAUGAUAGCUGUGUGUGUUUUAAAUUGUAUUUUUUUGAAUGCAUGGACUUAAAAAUAUUUAGCCUGGAAAUUUUCGAGUCAGAUGAAUAUAGGUUUGAGCUCUGGCCCUGCCUGUUACCUCAGAGAGUCUUUCCCUUUCUUCUCAUGGCUAAAGCCUAGUCACUUUGGGCUCUCAUGGGUCUUCUGUAGGGAAGCUUUCCUUAACUUUCCUGAGAAGGGCAAAUGAAUCUCUCUGAGACUCAGUUUUCUCAUCUAUAAAAUAGGGGCCAUACUACUGAUGCCAUCUGACAUAGUUGUGAAGAUUAAGUGAGAUAGUGAGUACAGAACCAUCCAUUAUAGGCAUUCAAAGUUCUCCACUUUUAUUGUUAUUUUGUAUCUAACAACUUUGGACACUUAACUCCUGUGGUGAAUUGUUUUGCUAUUAUCUCUAUCUUGAAAGUAUUGUUGGAGAAACAAUCAUGAAAAAAUAUUUUUCUACUUCUGUUUAUGAAGAUGCAAAGUCACAUGGCAAAUUAUCAAUAUUUUUUAUGAAGAUGCAAAGUCACAUGGCAAAUUAUCAAUAUCUAAAAUGUUCUGAAAGGUGGAAGAGAAAGAAACAGUAUUCAAGAGUCUUGUCCCAAGGUGUUGUGGGGGAGACAAGGUAAUAAUUGAGAACUAUAUAUAAAAAUAAGUACAAAGAAUUAUAUGAAGCAAUUAAAUCUGAUGGGCUGGAUGGACUUACUUACGUUAGGGAAGGGUGUCUAGGUACAUUGGAUUCAAAAGCGGAGGAAGAAACUACUUUGGAGGAGUCUUUGUGAGUGGAAGGGAAAUCCUGAAGUUAGGGUUGGUCUCCUUCUCAAAAAAAGGAAGUUGUUGCUUUAGGAGGGUUGACUAAAUACCCUGACAAUACUCACUUGACUAAAAAUAUCUCUUCCAUGGGCUUGAAGUCCUAAAGCCAGAACCAGAAGCGUAGCUUGUUCCUGCUGCACACCGUUCUGUGUUCCACCUCCGGAAUCUUGCCCAGGCUUAUCCUUCCUCGGGAAUGUCCUUCUUGUUUGCCUUCUUCACCUGCUUACUCCCACUUAUUUUACACGAUGCCAGGAGUCAGGGCUUUAGAGGGUCUUUCUCAGUCCCUUCCUUUACUGCACCAUUGGGGUAGGGCCUCAGUGACGUUUUCCCAUCUUAUCCUGUACACGUUCCCAUCACAGCAUUCAUCAUACUGCUCAUAUCCACUGACUUCUCUGGACUCCAAGCACCACAAGGGUAGAGACUCUCUUAAUCUUCUCUGUAACCUCAGCACAGUGGCCAGCACAUAUGUGUGCUUAAGAAAUAAUAAAUACAAUAAAUUUGUAGCUGGGUGCAGUGGCUCUUGCCUAUAAUCCCAGCACUUUGGGAUACUGAGGCAGGAGGAGUGCUUGAGCUCAGAAGUUUGAGAGCAGCCUGGGCAACAUAGCAGGACCCCAUCUCUACUAAAAAUAAAAAAAAAUCAGCUAGGCAUUGUGGCCCGUGCCUGUAGUCCCAGCUACUUGGGAGGCUGAGGCAGGAGGAUCACUUGAGUCCAGGAGUUGAAGGCUGCAGUGAUCUAUGAUUGUGACACUGUACUCCCCCUGGGCAGCAGAGGGAGACCCUGUCUAAAAAAAGAAAGAAAGAAAGAAAGAAAGAAUAAAUGGGUGAUUGAAGUUUUACCCGUUUAUUUGUAAAUUUAAAUUUGGACAAGUUACCCGGAAGUGUAGACCAGUAAUGUGUUAACACAUGAACCUAAAUGAGUUAUCUGGUUGACUCCUUUAUAGGAGCAGGAACAGGGUGGUGGUGAGUUAGCAUGGGCCAGCAAGCUGGUUUGGGGGCAGGUAGGCAGAACAGGCUGGCUUUCAGUCCUGGCUGAGGCAGGUUUGAAAGAGCAAAGGUGAAUGGCCUGGAUUGUAUUAUUCUUAUUCUUGUUUUCCUAGUACUGCCCUUGGGUGAAAAGUGGGAGAAAGUAAGAAGUGUUUAGGGAACAGCAAUUAGCCUUUUGGAUUUUCUUGGCUAGAUUGUGGAAACUGAGCAGAUGCAAACCAUAUAGAGGUUAGAUGGGCCUGGAUGAUUGCUGGGGAGCUUUGGAAACACAGCCAUGUGACAAGGUUACAUGUAGACAUGUCCAUCUUAGGAAUGCAUAGUAGUCUGUCCAAGAAAAAGCCAUUUGAUAUUAGUGGGGUGUUUUGUAUAUUUGCACAGAAAACUUGCUCAUUUAUCGUUCUUAAAGCACUCAGUUAUUUGCCUAAGGAAGAUGCCUUUUCACAUAAACAACGGUCUACCUGGUAUCAGAAUUUCUCAACAGAUAAGACACCCUUGUGCUCAGGAAGUAACUUCUGCAGGCAGAUAGCAUACCAAACUUUUAUUGUUAAUAUGGGAAGAAAGGCAUGCAUCAGAAUAACAGGAAAACCUGCUCUUGUGUGUUUGCACCUGAGGAGGGGGAGGGGACACCAUUUUUAUCAGGCACACUAAAAGCAGCCGUUCAUUCUUGCAAGAUGGACUGUUCUAGAUUUUGUUGCUUUAUGAAAUUUUUGGUACACAAUUUAAGUAAGUUUUUGGCACAAUUUAAGUAAAACCCAGGAUUAUUUCAGACAGUUAGAAAUGAACAAUAGCAUGUUUAUCAUUAGAAUCGGACUCUCCUUGUUAUAUUUCAUAGGGUUUAGCACUUGUCUGUUAAUACCCAUCUCACUAAAUGUCUCCAUUCAUAACAUAGGUUUUCUUCCCCUGGGUGAAGGGAUGGGGAGGAGUGAAUCUUUUUCUAAUUUCUUUUUCUUCCAUCAUGUUUAUAUGUAUAAAAUUUCACAGACCAACAUUUUCUAGAACCUCUGUAUUCGCGGAACAAGUUCCUUUAAAUACAAAGAUUUCUAAGUGACAUUUUGACUUCUGAUUUACAUGAAUCUUAGUAAGUUAUGCCAAAUAAACUCUUAAAUUAUACUGAGUAAGAAGUCUGAUUAAGAAGUUUUUCUUCUCAAAAGGAAAAUAAAUGUUUUCAAUUCUUUUUAAAAUAAGUUUUUGUGUUUGGCAGUGCCUUGGUCUCACAGCAGUAAAGAGAUUAAGUAAAAUGCUAACUUGUAGUAACUCUAUAUUUUUAAAUUUCUUAUCCUAAAAACUAAUACAGAGAUAAUUCCUGAGAAACCUCAUUUCCCUGGCAAGUCAAUAGCUUACUUUGCUUCUUGUUAUUUGCUUUUAACAGUGACAGGGAUUUUUAUUCUUUUUUUUUCCUUUUCUUUAAUUUGCAGAGUCAAUUAAACUGCUUAACCAAAUAGAUCUUAAUAGUGUUGAUAGAUUCUUAUUAUAUUCCUGUCAUAAUUAUUUUUUAAAACUGGCAGGAAGCCUUCAGUAUUCAACAUCAUUUACGACCUCAGUGAAUGGUCAUGUAAAUGGACAAUUUGCAGAAAUUCCAGCUGGGGUUAACCUUAGAACAGGGUUGUUCCAAUAUAAAGCUGCUGGCUUCCUUUACAUUAUUAUGGAUUUCUGUUUGUUUUCUUUUUAUUUUUGGGCAGGCUUCCCCUGAGAAGUUUAGAUGGACGAUUUAAGGGAGGUGUGUUUUUAGGAGGACUUAGUGGUGAUAUUGGAAAAAUCUUAGUGAAAUGACAGCCGAGGUCAUUAUAACAUGGCCUUGAGUCUCAUAACUCGGGAGGAAGUAGGUAGGAGGUGGUGGCAGAAAGGCAAAGAUACUGAGGUGUUUCUAACACGGGCACAGGAAUAUGAGGCAAUAAUAGAACAUUACUAAAGUUCUCCUCUAGAAUGAGUCAUUGACAAAUAUAAUUUGAGGCUUUAGGCAGCCCCAAGAAAAUAUCAAUUUCUAUGAUUUUUAUAAACUUACACUUUGGAAAGGUUGGCAAAUUGAUAGACAAUGAAUAAACGCAUUUAGAAUUCAAAGUUGACAUUCAUAUUAUGGCCUCAAUUUAGCUAGGUGAGAUAUUUAGUGACACUUGGAUGUCUUUCCAAGGGUCAGAUUUGUUAAAACAUUAUGCUAAAACAAUUUGAGAGAUAACUUUAAGUAUUCUAGGCUUAACUAGAAAGCAAAUUUUGCAUUACAGUUCAGGAGUAGAUAGUAACUUUGCAAACCCAAAUCAAGAAAUCUAACCACAUUAAAGAAAUGGAUUUUGUUGUAAAACUAAAAUGAUUACAUACUAUAUUUCUUAACUUAAUGAGGGAGAAAUGUACCUCUGGUCUAAUAAGCUCCAUAUUGUUAAAUGUCAGUGUUAGCAUCUCUCUUCAUCAGUGUUAUCCAAAAUUUAAUGCUAAUAUUAUUUUACUGAAUCUGUGAAGAGAUUGUACUAUUUUUCUUUUCUUUCUUUCUAUUUUUGGAGGUUGGGGUGUGUGGAGGGAUGGUGUUUCAAAGUUUGGUGUUGAGAUUGUAUGUAUUUCCAAAGAGUAAUACUGAAAUAGGUUGUGAAAUUAUAACCAGAGUUCUACAUCCUCAACUCUUUAUAUUCAAGAAGUUUUGCCAUUUCAAAGAAAGAUGAGAAGUUUUAAAAAAAAAAAUUAUGACAGGACUGUAGUAAGAGUCUAUCAACACUAUUAAUAUCUAUUUGGGUAAACAGAGAGGCAGAUACCUUUUCCCACAUGAACUAUUUUUUGAUCAGUAUAAAGUAUGAUAAAAUAUGAAAAAAAGCAAAAUUCAGGAUACUUUUGUAGGUAGACACGUCAGAUAUUAUAUAAAAUUAGCUUAAAUAUUCAAACACUGUAAAAUGAGAGGCAGAUAGGAUAUCGUCUCCAAAGAGGACAUGGUGAAAACGAUACUUUGAAAUGAUAAAUAGUCAAAUAUGGGCAUAACUUUUUCAUAUUAGAGAAAACUUAUUGCCUAGACAAAUGUAGUAGU